rnacentral:rRNA from 1 species
GACGAACGCUGGCGGCGUGCUUAACACAUGCAAGUCGAACGAAAAGGCCCUGCUUUUGUGGGGUUGUCGAGUGGCGAGCGGGGGUGUAACACGUGUGGACACUGCCCCUGACUGUGGGAUAUCUUCAGGGAACUGCGGAUAUUACCGGGUAGGAUCUAUUGCUGCGUGUGGUGGGUUGGAGAGAUUCGGCUGUGGGGGAUGUACUAGCGGCAUAUCAGCUUGAUUGGGUGGUUGUUGCUUACCACGGCUUUGAAGGGUAGGCGGCCUGAGAGGGCGACCGGCCACAAUGGUCCUGCGAUACGGCCCAGACUCGUACGGGCCGCAGCAGUGGGGAAUCUUGCACAGUGGGCGGACGUCUGAUGCGGCAACGCCGCGUGCGGGAUGCCGUCCUUCGGGUUGUAAACCGCUUUCGCCUGAGCCGAAGAGUGAGUGACGGUACCGGGUAAAGAAGCACCGGCUAACUACGUG